rnacentral:rRNA from 1 species
CACGUAGGGGCAAGCGUUGUCCGGAAUCAUUGGGCGUAAAGAGCUCGUAGGCGGCUCAGUAAGUCGGGUGUGAAACCUCCAGGCUCAACCUGGAGACGCCACCCGAUACUGCUGUGGCUAGAGUCCAGUAGGGGAGUGUGGAAUUCCCGGUGUAGCGGUGAAAUGCGCAGAUAUCGGGAGGAACACCAGCGGCGAAGGCGGCACUCUGGGCUGGUACUGACGCUGAGGAGCGAAAGCGUGGGUAGCAACGAGGA